GGCCGCGAAUUUCCGCCCUUAGAGUUUGAUUCUGGCUCAGGACGAACGCUGGCGGCGUGCCUAAUACAUGCAAGUCGAGCGAUGAUUAAAGAUAGCUUGCUAUUUUUAUGAAGAGCGGCGAACGGGUGAGUAACGCGUGGGAAAUCUGCCGAGUAGCGGGGGACAACGUUUGGAAACGAACGCUAAUACCGCAUAACAAUGAGAAUCGCAUGAUUCUUAUUUAAAAGAAGCAAUUGCUUCACUACUUGAUGAUCCCGCGUUGUAUUAGCUAGUUGGUAGUGUAAAGGACUACCAAGGCGAUGAUACAUAGCCGACCUGAGAGGGUGAUCGGCCACACUGGGACUGAGACACGGCCCAGACUCCUACGGGAGGCAGCAGUAGGGAAUCUUCGGCAAUGGGGGCAACCCUGACCGAGCAACGCCGCGUGAGUGAAGAAGGUUUUCGGAUCGUAAAACUCUGUUGUUA
rnacentral:rRNA from 1 species